rnacentral:lncRNA from 1 species
CCAAAGCAAACCCACACUGCCGCAGCCCUCCUCCCUUCCUGAGCCAUCCCCUCUCCAAAUCAGGAAGAACGACCAAAGGAAAAGAGGUUUUAAUAAGAGAUCCCCUGGGAAGGAGGGGGCGCCCUCGGCACGGUGGGAACUUCGCAGGCCUCGAGGAGGGCGUACACAGUCGCUGGGACAGCCAGUGUCCGCUGGAGUUGCAAAUCCUAUGUUCGGAGGGAAUUCUCAGGCCUCCAAGAUCUUUGUGAGGAGUGGAGCGAGAACCAUAUUUGGACUUUUAGAACACCGUGGACCUUAGGACAGCAACACCAGCAUCCUUCUUCCAGGAGUUCUCUGGUCUUAAUUCCAUGGUCUUAAUAUGACAGUCGCCCCAGAUCUUUUAUCCUCAGACUCCCCUACAAAGUAUUCAACCAACCAUGGGUCUAUAUUAUGAGGGAAAAAUUAACAGUUACCUCCACGGCACUUGCAGGCAGGAGGGAUUGUUCGUUUCCAAGAAGAUCUGCACCGGCUGUACCCAAAUAGAACGUCAUUUUGAUAUGAAGGAUUUCAGCCCCUGAAGAUUUUGAUACCCACAGAGUUGCUGGAAACAGCUCUCCUGGAUACCAAGGGAUGCUCAUCUCAUAUUUGAAUCAUCCCGACCCUCACUGAGCAGACAGCUCCCAGAGUAACGCUGACUCAGAGAGAAGGAAUUCGAGUCACCCGGGAUAUUUAAAAUAUUCUAGUAGCCACGUAGUUUAACAGAAAGAAAAAAAAUAUUAAGACAAGUGAGAUGAACCUUAAUAAUAUUUAAUCCAAU